rnacentral:tRNA from 1 species
GGCUCGGUAGCUUAGUUGGUAAAGCGCUCGUCUAGCAUACAAGAGUCGUGGGUUCCAAUCCCACCUGAGCAA